UUACCAAUAAGGGUCACCUUUCAAAUCACUUCAGAAUGAGAAAGCAUAAGCCUUAUCCAGGAAAGUUCACCUUUUACAAACCCCACAAACGUGUACCAUAAGGAUGGAUGUACUGUGUAGCUGUGUACAAAUCUAUGGUUAUUUGUAUAUAUGUUGCCAUGUUGUUGAGGUGAACCAGCAUUGCCUAACCUAGGAUGCCUGAUAUAAUAGCUUACUAAGGUCGAGAUGGGGCUCAGAAUGUCAAGAUAUGAGAAGAAGACUGAAAACACAGAAUGAGUGGCUAAAUUAAAGCAUCUUCAGAUACAAUCCAGAAGUAUGUGAGUUAUUUCAUUUCUUAAACUGAUGGGCGAAGAUCAAGCUCAACAGAUCCUUCAGAUAUCUUGUUGAGUUGUUCACAAUUUCUUUCCUUUCUCCACUUUAGUAUCCAUUUUCCCUUCAAACUCUGCACAUUAUUUUGAAGUUUUGAAAUUUUUUACUGAUCACAGACUCCAC
ensembl:lncRNA